rnacentral:piRNA from 1 species
GCAUUAGAAACCCUGUAUUAUGUUCUCAAA